UGCGUCCGCAAACAAAAAUCAGAUCCAUGGACAGCCACAUUAUAUUUAGCUUAUGUUGAUUGGACUCAAUUGUUAAUUUGCUUAACCAUGCUGUAGGUUAUGUAACUGUCUGUUACAUGUGAUAUGCAUCAUGGACUUCACCAGAUAGAGGUUUCUGUAAGGAUCUCUGAGUGAACAUUUAAUAACGAUGGACAGGAACAGAAUACGGACAGCGUCUGGACAGGGGAAACCCAAAAGACAAUAAUGCUGACACGGGGAUGAAACAGAGGAAACACACAGAUAUAGGAAAGGCAAUCAAAACGUGAAGUAGUCCAGGUGAGUCCAAUGAGCGCUGAUGCACAUAAUAAUGGUGACAGGUGUGCUUAAUGAAAGGCAGCCUGGUGUCCUCGGGUGCCAGAGAUGGAGAGCGGGAGCAGGCAAGACAGGUUUCUAUCCGGUUUUGUGAUUACAGUUUUUUUUCGAUUGCUAAACGACAGUGGACACAACUGGAGUCACAUGUGCAAAACUCUAACUACAGUCUGCACAGCAGCAGUUCAUGUGGACCAAACUCUAGUUCGUUUUUCAUUGCUUGAACACAGUUUUCAAAACUCUACACACUUAUCCCAUGACUUUAACCACAACCUGCACAACACUGUGGAUUUACAGCACUUUCUUCAAAUGCUAACACACUGCUAUCAAAACUGUGAACCACACAUUCAAAGCGGAAUAGAUUUCAGCCUUGUGCCUUUCAAACACUGCUGAUUGCAAUUUCAGAUGAAAGGCUAAGCAGGUGUCUUGUUUUAGACUUGUUAGUGAACACACACACAUAUUACAGUAUAUAUAUAGGUAGAGCUCAGAAAGACUCAUUUUGGAAAUGGAACAAGGAAGAUGGGUUCGUGGAGGGAGAAGGGUGGCAGGGAGAGGGCGGAUGCGUGGAGGAAGACAAAGAAGACAAAGAGCUGUUAUUUCAAAUGAAAUAAGGGCUACACUUAUAGACCAUGUCGUGAACCAUGGUCUCUCAUUGAGAGAGGCAGGGUUGAGGGUGCAACCCAAUCUGCAAAGAUCCACAGUGGCAUCUGUAAUGUGAAUUUUCCAUCAUGCAAACAGGUGAGAGUUACAUCCUUACAGUAAAUGAAAACAUUACAGGAAUCUAUUUUGUAUUGCAAUUAUAGAAUAUUUACACAGAUACAUAUUACAGUAAGUUUGACUGUAAAAUAUAUUUUUACAACAGGACCCAAAGGCUGCCCCCAACAGGGGGAAGAGGAAAAAUAUUUUCAGAUGCGCAGGAAAAUGCUAUUGUUGACAUGGUUGUUGUCAACAAUGCAAUAAAACUGCGGGAGAUUCAAGAUAGAGUGCUGGCUGAUAAUGAUAUAUUUGAAAAUGUUAAUUCUGUCAGCACAACAACUAUUGCUCAAGUCCUAAAGAAACACCAAGUUACAAUGAAACAGUUAUACACUGUACCGUUCGAGAGAAACAGUGAACGGGUAAAAGAGCAAAGAUACCAAUAUGUCCCGAGAGUAAUGGAGGUGGAAGCACUGGAAAGACCACAUUCAUUUGUAUUUAUCGAUGAAGCUGGAUUUAACCUUGCCAAAACACGGCGCAGAGGAAGGAAUGUUAUAGGUCAAAGGGCCACUGUGGAGGUUCCAGGCCAAAGGGGGGGAAAUAUCACCAUGUGUGCUGCAAUGGCCAAUGAUGGUUUGCUUCUCAACACACCGCUCAUUGGCCCAUACAACACAAAAAGGCUUAUAGCUUUCCUAGAACAGCUCUAUGCUCAGCUAGUGCCAGCAGAACAGGGGGAGCCAGUAAGAAACCCCCAAGUUUUUGUCAUAGUUUGCGAUAACGUUGCUUUUCACCACUCUGCAGCUGUCACAGACUGGUUUGCAGCACAUCACAGAUUUAUGGUUUUGUACCUGCCUGCAUAUUCACCCUUCCUCAACCCGAUAGAGGAGUUUUUCUCUGCCUGGAGGUGGAAAGUGUUUGGUCACCACCCACAUGACCAAAUGUCUCUUUUGGAAGCCAUGCGUGCCGGAUGUGAGGACACGAGUCCAGAGGACUGCCAGGGAUGGAUAAGGCACUCCAGAAGGUUCUUCCCCAGGUGCAUGGCAAGAGAAAACAUUAGAUGUGAUGUUGAAGAAAACCUGUGGCCUGAUGCUAGAGAGAGCCCGGAUUAGCCCCUCAAUUAUCUGUUCGAAUUACAGUAUGUACUUUUAGUUUCUACCUUUUUUUUCUCAUUACUGUAAUUCCGUAAAUUACUACAGGCUAUUGAAGCAAACUGCUAAUUUUCAUUUACCUUAAAGAAUUGUUAUGUUCUAAAAAAAAAUGUAAAUCGUGUGAAAGAAUGUCACUCUUUUCUUUGAAGAAAAUAUUACUUUGUAUGAAGUCACUGAAAUUGUUCAAAUUGUAAAGAUGAAAAGUCCUUUGUGGGCAAAUGUUGUAAUCAAAGUCUGGCAUUCUCUGGAUUUAUGGUGCUUUCAAAACAACAGGGAAAAACAAGGUUGAAUCAUGAUGACGUCAUUGAUGUUCAGGUUGUAGCUCUAGAAAGAGGCCGGAUUUACAAUUCCGAGUUGGACGACCGUUCUAAAUGUAUUUUCCCAGUUUUCGCAGUUCAGAGUUAACAGUUGAUUCUUCAGUUCAUUAUUUCUCUUCAUAUGACAAGGAUUAAAAAUAAUUUGCCAGUA